rnacentral:rRNA from 1 species
UACGGAGGGUGCAAGCGUUAUCCGGAUUCGACUGGGUUUAAAAGGGGUGCGUAGGAGGACAGGUAAGUCAGUGGUGAAAUCUCCGAGCUUAACUUGGAACUGCCGUUGAAUACUAUCUGCCUUGAAUAUUGUGGAGGUGGAGCGGAAUAUGUCAUGUAGCGGAUGAAAUGCUUAGAUAUGACAUAGAACACCAAUUGCGAAGGCAGCUUACUACGGAUCGAUUGACACUGAGGCACGAAAGCGUGGGGAUCAAACAGG